GGACUGAGACACGGCCCAAACUCCUACGGGAGGCAGCAGUGGGGAAUAUUGGACAAUGGGCGCAAGCCUGAUCCAGCCAUGCCGCGUGAGUGAUGACGGCCUUAGGGUUGUAAAGCUCUUUCGCUCGGGACGAUAAUGACGGUACCGAGAUAAGAAGCCCCGGCUAACUUCGUGCCAGCAGCCGCGGUAAUACGAAGGGGGCUAGCGUUGUUCGGAAUUACUGGGCGUAAAGCGCGUGUAGGCGGGUCUUUAAGUCAGGGGUGAAAUGCCAAGGCUCAACCUUGGAACUGCCUUUGAUACUGGAGAUCUUGAGUCCGGGAGAGGUGAGUGGAAUUGCGAGUGUAGAGGUGAAAUUCGUAGAUAUUCGCAGGAACACCAGUGGCGAAGGCGGCUCACUGGCCCGGAACUGACGCUGAGACGCGAAAGCGUGGGGAGCAAACAGGAUUAGAUACCCUGGUAGUCCACGCUGUAAACGAUGGAUGCUAGCCGUUGGGGAGCUUGCUCUUCAGUGGCGCAGCUAACGCUUUAAGCAUCCCGCCUGGGGAGUACGGUCGCAAGAUUAAAACUCAAAGGAAUGA
rnacentral:rRNA from 1 species